UAUUGACUGUGUAUGCAUGCACGCGCAUAUCGAACUUCGUGCACAUAUAGACGUGAUGCUUUGACGAUAAAUAUUUAUUAAAAUUGACAUUAUUUAUUUCAGCCUUGUAAAGGCACAGAUAGCGGAGGCGCAGAAAAAGCUGUCAGAUACAGAUACAAAUCCGCAGCCCCCUUUCGCUUGGCAGAGCCUUUACAGCGAGACUUUUAUAACAAAGAUAAUUGCACACGGUAACAACACUUAUACAAUAAUGAGCAAGUACAAAAGGAAACAAAACAAGAUUAUACAAUAUUUAGACGAUACUUCCAAAAAAGAAAACAGAACCUACAUGCUAACGUACAUAGCACCCAAAGUACUAUUCGACGCAUUGAAGAGGUCAGAAUUAUUGUAUACAUAAACUAUAUACAUAUUCGUAUAGAGCUACCAAUCCCUGCAAAAUGUAGAAGGCAGAUUUUCAUUAAAUAGACGCACGCACGCAUGCACGCACGCACGUGCCCAACACACACACCAAAAGGAAACGCCGACGCGCUCAUAGGAGGCGCCUGAAAAAAAAAAAAAAAAAAGGAAUAGACUGGGGGAACCACGGUCGUCUUGCGCGCUCGCAUCUCCCUCUCCCAGAAGGAAUGAAGAGGUUCUUGGAAAGCAGCAUCAGCUUUCACUAGCGAGGACGGGGUGAGAAAGCGAAGCGCGGCUUUCUUUGCUAUCUAUUUUUUCUUCGUCAAGCGCAACACCGCCUGCUUGCAGGGGCGCAGGCGAGUUCCCGCCAAAUGCGCGGAGGCGCAAGCAGGGGCGCGAGUUGCCGCCAAAUGCUAGCUCUGGAUGCCAGCUCGUUCCGCGUCUCUUGGUAGACUAGUUGGAUCAUUUCUGUUAUCGUGGACUGCGAUUAUAAACGCAAACUACACAAAAGUGACGUGGACGAGAACAGCGCAAGCCCUUUCCAUGCAGUGGAGCCGCCGUAUCUCGCCGUUCAAUAUAUGCGUACUCGGAACACUGGAACGACACUGCUUAAAUUGAAGCACAGUGUGCGAAUGACCUGCUACGCUCGGAACUGUUAUCACCAUUCGGGAAGAAAUCAGAUGAAAAAAACAAAACUGUAAAUACCUGUACGAUAUACGUCUGGUGCAUUGCAGGUAAGAAUGGAUUGUGUGUGGCGCUUCACCGCAUGUGGACUAGAGUAGAUCUAGGAACAUCAGACAAGAAGCCACGUAUGCGAAACCCUGCGGAUAGCCCAUAUGUAAGUUGUUCCUCAAUGUUUCUGUUGUUGCAUUUUCGUAGUUUACGUGUAAUACUUUGUCACCGCGGUCUCGACAUUAUGUAUACCUAUACAUUUGUCUCGUGGCAGUCUGCGUGCUAUUUUGUUUGUGCAACUAUGUGUUGUAUUCAUUUGUCGCGCUGCCUGGAUGUUUUUUUUUUUUUGCAAUGAUAUUCUGAGCCAAGUCAGUGAAUCUAUCCUUCCUGUCCUCAUGCUUCCUUGGGUGGCUCUAAAGCGUAUCUUAGAGGAAUAUUUAGCUUCAGAUUCCCGCAUGGAACAGAUGGUGAGUAAACAUGAAUACAUAGUUUCUCUAAAAAGAAGACACAGCAUGUCAAUUUUUGGUUGAUUUUCAUUUUGUAAUUCAUACAAUACCGCAGCCAUAUGCCGUUCUGUCAUAGAACGUUGUUUCUAGAUAUAUUUGUUUUAUGUGGUUAAAACAUUUAAAACGAGAGCGAUCAUAUUUCUUAUCCUGACCAUUAUUUUUUACAGACCACGAUGACCACGUAUUUGGAUGUCUGGUUUAACUCUACAUGCGCUGGUUCGUGCAGGUGAACUUUUUUUCCAGAUACGGAGGAACGGACACCGGUCAUGCCGUGCGCACUCUUCUGGAGGGCAUACUUACGAAUGAAGCUGCACUGCAGUUCAGCUGGAAAGGGUCGCAGGGGAGGAAGCACGCCUUCGUGAAGCUCGCGGCCAACGCGAAUCUAAUUCUAACAUCUGUGAGGAGCACGUUCCCUGACGCUUCACUAGCAUCAGUGGCUGGAGUCGCAAAACGCUGGUUGGUUGGAGCAGCUGACAGGGAUGGAGGCCGGAAUGAAAGAAGGCGCCGUGACCCUGCUUCAAGCCCACCAAAUAUGAACUAGUGUUUGAAACUUGUGAACGUGUCGGUGUACAUAUACAAUUACAAGAAAUAAAGACCUGUAUCAGAA